CCGAUGCCAGGCACCCUCGAGGCACAGUGGCUGGGGCUCAGGUUGGGGGCACUUGGCCUCUCCAGGCCUCGAAGGCUUCUGGGCUGAUGCGAGCUGGGGAACGGGAGGGACGGACGUGGGAGUGAGAAUGUCACACGGGAGGCAGCUGGUGGCACGAUGGGGGACAGAGUGAAAGGUGGCAAGUCAAGGCACCCUGAUCUGGUUGUGGAAGUGGCCCAUCCCAAAAUAAUCCAUGAAUCUGGGGCACAAAUCCUGCGCCAUGCCAAUCUCCUGGUGGGGUCCCCCUCAGCUCUAAGUGACCAGACCACAGAGCGACAGCUCUUGGAGGCCUCACAGCACUGGGACCACGCCGUGUUUGUGGCCCGAGGGGCCCUGUGGGGCACUGAGGACAUCAGGAGAUUGGAUGCAGCUGGGGGCCUCCAGGUGAGGCCUGCUGGGCU
rnacentral:sRNA from 1 species